rnacentral:rRNA from 1 species
CCUACGGGAGGCAGCAGUGAGGAAUAUUGGUCAAUGGACGAGAGUCUGAACCAGCCAAGUAGCGUGAAGGAUGACUGCCCUAUGGGUUGUAAACUUCUUUUAUAUGGGAAUAAAACGUUCCACGUGUGGGAUUUUGUAUGUACCAUAUGAAUAAGGAUCGGCUAACUCCGUGCCAGCAGCCGCGGUAAUACGGAGGAUCCGAGCGUUAUCCGGAUUUAUUGGGUUUAAAGGGAGCGUAGGUGGAUUGUUAAGUCAGUUGUGAAAGUUUGCGGCUCAACCGUAAAAUUGCAGUUGAUACUGGCAGUCUUGAGUACAGUAGAGGUGGGCGGAAUUCGUGGUGUAGCGGUGAAAUGCUUAGAUAUCACGAAGAACUCCGAUUGCGAAGGCAGUUCACUGGACUGCAACUGACACUGAGGCUCGAAAGUGUGGGUAUCAAACAGGAUUAGAUACCCGAGUAGUC